GACCAUGUCGUUUCAUUUUCAUAGAUCCAUCUGACGCGGGUGUCAAAAUCGCUCUGAUUUGCUAUUUUGGGCUAUGCAAAGUCUGCAGUGCAUUUCAGUGUGGCAAGCUUUUUGUUCGGAACGUUCUAUCUAGUACGUAGUACAUAUAUAUCGAUGCUUAAAUCGGCCCUGUUUGCCCAUAAUAUGUGAAUCUCUUUUUAAAAAGAGGGGCUGCCUCCACGAGCGAGAGAAUCGCGACGAGUCCGCCCUUAUAUCGUCGCACGAACGAGCGAUAAUUCCGCCGCGUAUCGUCGCGAGUCGUCGUCGUCUUCGAUGCGCUUCGACUCUGCGCUAGUAUAAAUCGACCCUUGCCUAAAGUUGUAACAGUGUUACUAAAAUUGUAAUAAACACAAAUGCUUGAACAAUAAACGUUUACUUACCUA